rnacentral:rRNA from 1 species
AUUGAACGCUGGCGGCAUGCUUUACACAUGCAAGUCGAACGGUAACAGGCCGCAAGGUGCUGACGAGUGGCGAACGGGUGAGUAAUGCAUCGGAACGUGCCCAGUCGUGGGGGAUAACGCAGCGAAAGUUGCGCUAAUACCGCAUACGAUCUAUGGAUGAAAGCGGGGGACCGUAAGGCCUCGCGCGAUUGGAGCGGCCGAUGUCAGAUUAGGUAGUUGGUGGGGUAAAGGCUAACCAAGCCGACGAUCUGUAGCUGGUCUGAGAGGACGACCAGCCACACUGGGACUGAGACACGGCCCAGACUCCUACGGGAGGCAGCAGUGGGUAAUUUUGGACAAUGGGCGCAAGCCUGAUCCAGCAAUGCCGCGUGCAGGAAGAAGGCCUUCGGGUUGUAAACUGCUUUUGUACGGAACGAAACGGUCCUGGUUAAUACCCGGGGCUAAUGACGGUACCGUAAGAAUAAGCACCGGCUAACUACGUGCCAGCCGCCGCCGUAACAC